AUAAAAAUUUUAUCAUUUAAUUACUUUUUAUGUGUUAUACAAUUUAUAAUUUACAUUGCUCGUAUUGUCUACAUGAAAAAGAGACAUAUAAACAUAAAUAAUACAUAAAUAAUUUAUGUAGAUGUAAUCUUGAAAAAUACAUCACAACUUUGUUUUUGGUCAGAUUUGAGCGAAUACUCGUAAAAUAUAAAAAAAUCUACAUUGCGUUUAUACAAUGUAAACUAUUGACGUAUCAUAUGUAUGUAAAAAAUAAUCAAUAAGGGGAUCAUAGAAAACUUAAAUUUUAUCAUAAAUAGUGAAAAUUAUAUUCCAUUUUAUUAUUUUUUAUAUUAUAUAUCUUUAUUUUAUCAAACUAAAGUCAGAUGUAUCAACAUAUUUUAUAACUAGUUAAUUUUUUUGUACUGUGUUGUUUAAUUUGUAAUAAUUUACAUCGCUUGUAUUAUUUACAUGAAUAAGAUUCAUGUAAAUAGUAUAUAAAAAAUAAUCCAUGUAGACGUAAUCUUAAAAUUUACAGCACAGUUCUUGUUACAGCACGGAAGAGAACCACAAAACACAGACAGUACCUAUGGGAUUCAUAAACGUUGGCUACAUAGUUCAAUGUUUUAUGAACAUAAGGGCGCUCCAAAAUAAAGUUAUAGCUAAAUCGCAGCCGUAGCCGCUCUCGGGCUUCUCUCUGUACACAUAUGCAUGUUAUCAAAGAACCUUUCAGGUUUUAACAACAUUUCGUGAUAAGCUCUGCAAUGCGAGGGAUACAUUGGAGGAUUUACUCUGUCAUUUCCCGUAGGGUAUACAGAUGCGGUUCCUCCUCCGCUCUUUCAGGCCUACGCCAAUUCAAAGGGAUUCAUUUACAAUAGGUAGCUGAAAGUGUGGCGGCGUGACAGCGAAGGACGUGGACGACACUUCUUUCCGAGAGACCACGCGGUAGCUUCUUGCCAAGCCGAGCAAUUUCGACGAUCACUUAUCUUCCUGUCCAAGAGAACGUUCGUUCCCUGCUUGUCGGGAGUGGACGCGUGGAAAGACAAAGGUUGAGAGUGAGAAGGAGAGAGAAGAGGAUGUGAAGAGAGAUAAAGAGGAACCGACCGCUUCAAGGGAGCAGAGGAGAGAGAAACGGAAAAUCAGAGGAGGGAAGUUUGGAGGUGACUUUCAGGCGUGGAGAGUUGCGCGCGUCAAGGCAAUCCACUCGAUCACUCUCUGGGGACACUGAGAAAUCCUGGUUCGCCCGCGUGUACUCAUACACAUGUACGCGAACGACAGCGUACGGCAUGUACCACCGAUCCGACGGAAUAAUGUUGGAAAAACCGUUUAACUCUGUAAAAGCAAACGUUCGCUGAAUAACAGAAAGUUAAAUCAAUGAUGAAUCAAAUUCUGUAACUUGUUGCCAGAUAGGAGGAGUCAAUUGCUCAUUGCUGCUAUUAUCGUAGAAAGUUGUGAACAAAUCAAUUGAGAUAAUUAUUAGUGUUGGAGAAAUUGACUGCUAUUUUGUAUAAAAACAUAAUUCAUAGUGAGUGCGAUUGAUCAUUUUGGUUUGUUUUGUUAGACAUUGAGACCUUAUUGUAGAAUAUUAGAAUAUUGAUAAAUAUUAGAAUAUUGAUAAAUCGAUUUCGAUAUUGUAUUGUGGCUGACAUUGCUCUUUCUGAUUACUUAUUAUUUAGAAAAAUUAAAUCACUAAUUAGUGAAGUGCGAAUCAAGAUUUUUGGCAUCGAAACGAACCAAAUUUUAUUUUGUUAUUUGAAUCUGAAUCGAAUUAUAUCAAACUGAAUUGUUGAAACAUAACUUGUAAGUAAUAAUUAUUGUUGAGUUGAAGUUUAGUAAAUAGAUAAUAAAAAGACUUUUAGGUAAGAAAAAUAUAUUGAUUAUGAUAAUAUAAAGUUAUUUUAAAAAUAUAAUUUUAUAAGCUUGUUAAUAUAUGUGAUUCGUAUAUUCAAACCUCUUAGAUUCGAAAUUUUUAAAUAGUUCAGAUUAGAAUCAUAGAAAUUCAAAUAGUUCACUAAUCACAUCGCUAAUAAAUCAGAUUUCUGAGAUAGUUUUUACAAUUCAGUUUUCGGAAGUUUAUAAAUUUAUUACUAUUACAUUAAAUUAAAUUAUAAUACAAUUAUAUAUUAAAUCUUAUCGCAUAUGUUACGAGAAUUAAUAAUUCGAUUAGUUUCGAUAUUUAAUUCUCAAGGUAAAAAUAGUGUGUAUGAAAAUUUAUACAAUUCCCGCGAACACAUGCGAGAGUUACACGCAGGUGUUCGUCGUGGACGCGUGUCGUGUAGCGUGUCGUUGUCGAUUGAACCUGUUACACGUCCGUCCCGUGAUUCACGCCGAGGUGUUCUCCAAUUGGCUUCCCAGCGAUCCGGCGUGACUGCGAAAACGCUCCUGAUAUCAGACGCCAAAUUGCUCCUGUAAAGCAUAUCUGUUUCCCAUUGUUCUAUUUGCAUAUGUGCGAACUCGUGUAAUUUUUAACAUAUAAAAUAUAAUAACGAUUUAUGUAUAGAUGUUAUAAAUUAUAUAGAGAAGAUUACUGUUACCAAGAUAAAUGUUUUGUGUGCUGUGUCCUUUGUUCUAUCUUAUGUGAUUUUAUUAUUCUAUCUCAUCAUUUAUUAUCAAUAAAUGUGUUAGCUUACGCGACAUCCCGAUUUUGUUUAAAAUUUAUCUAUACAUAAAUCGCAUUAUGAAAAAAAAUGAGAGAAAAAUAUAAAUAAAACGCAAUAAAAUGAAAUAAUGUCAAGAAAGAAGUCGACACUGAAUGUCGUACAAGUAUAUUAAAAAAUUACGUAAGACCGAAACUUCUAUAUGUAAUUUUUUAAUGAAAAUAUAUUAUUGUAUACACAAACGUUCAGGGUUGGAAUUAUUUAUUUUGUUGUGAUUUUAUUAAUUUUACUUAAAAUUAUGAUACACAUAUGGCAGUAAAAUUAUCACCUUUACGCCUGUUUUUCUUAGCAUCCGCAAUUCUGCGAUAACCAGCGCCGGGAUCAUCAUUCAUGCCGGUCAGCCGGGGGUGAGAAAUUUCCCCGGCGAAUGCCUGGUGAUUCGUCACGAUAUCCCGAUAUCCCGAUAUCCGUCCGUGACAUCGCACGUCCGCGGUCGAACGAUGGGAACGAGAUUCAAAUGCGUGAUACGAUGACGCUCACGAUGAUGCCACGGUGGCGCGUUCUCGGGGCGCGUGCGGUUCGUAAAAUCGUUAUCGGAGGCACGCAUCGUCGCGUCUGAAGGGAGUUCCCCCCACAGACAGGGGAAGCCUAAAAAAUGUUUGGGAUUAAACGCACAUGGAAAGAAGGAGAAUUCCCGAUCCGACGUGUCCGAAGCUCGACUCGGACCGUGAGGAAUCGGGGGAAGGCGAAAAUAAUUUUUCCAAGUGAUGAGCGUCUUAAAAUCUCUUGUAAUCUUUAUUUAUACGAUUAUUCCUACUUUUCUUCUCAUCCUCUCAAAGAUGCACAAGGUGCAAAAAAAUUCCUCUCGCGCGGUUCGUUGCGUAAAUUGAGAUAAACACCCCGUGCGCGACCGUGCGUGCGUUGCGUGCACGCAUACGUGCGUACAGGCAACUCUACACAUGGGGGGGGGGGAGAGAGAGAGAGACACAGAGAGGGUGGUGCGGAUCAACGAGACGACGGUAGCGGCGGCGGCAGGGUGAACGAGCGAAGCGCGAGGGGUCGAAAAUCGAACGAAAACGAGCGAGCGAGCGAGCGAACGGAGCAGGCGCUUGCGUUGUCAUUAAACCACAAGCAGAAUUUCCGACCGCUCGCUCGCUCGACUCGACACGCGUCGCCCCGUCCGUCCCCUUUCCGCCGUCGCGCCGCGCGACCCCCAUUCAUCAUAAAUGCAAUCAGAUCGUAUUACGCGCCAUUACCAUACGCUCUACCCCGUUCCAGUCUCCGUCCCUCCGGCGGUCCCCGGUCGCGCCCCCAUCCUCCUCCUCGGUCGGCUCGCGCGAUGCGAGCCCGAAAUUCAUCCCCCUGCGCGCGCGUGGCGAGGCGGAAUCUCCGAAAGCUCGUCUUUCGAGGGAGUCGAGGGCUGAUUAGGUUUUGAUUGCGUACGGUCGACCGCAAGUGAGAGAAAUCUGAGAGAGAGAGAGAGAGGGAUGUACACUUGUUUUCUAUCUUUCCCUUUUUCCGACUCGUUUUGCGUGAUCGAUGUCGUCGCGAGAGAAUUCGACUCUGUCAUUAAUAACGAGGACGAUAAUUGAUGUCCUAAUGCCCAUUUCUACCCAGCAUAGAUUAAUUUUAAUCUCGUUUAUAAAUUUAUCUAUUUUUAUCUCUUCGUAAUUCUAAGAAUUAAAGAAUAAAGGAUACUAUGUAUUUUUGUUGUAUGUAUAAAUAUAUUGUAAUAAUAGGUAAUAUUGGAAACAUUAA